rnacentral:rRNA from 1 species
GAGUCCGCGUUCCAUUAGCUAGACGGUGGGGUAACGGCCUACCGUGGCAACGAUGAAUAGCAGGCCUGAGAGGGUGGCCUGCCACACUGGGACUGGAACACGGCCCAGACUCCUACGGGAGGCAGCAGUGGGGAAUAUUGCGCAAUGGACGAAAGUCUGACGCAGCGACGCCGCGUGGAGGAUGAAGGUUUUCGGAUCGUAAACUCCUGUCAAGAGGGAAGAAACCUACCAUGAAUAAUACUUGUGGUAAUUGACGGUACCUCUAGAGGAAGCACCGGCUAAUUCAGUGCCAGCAGCCGCGGUAAUACUGAAGGUGCAAGCGUUAAUCGGAAUCACUGGGCGUAAAGCGCUCGUAGGUGGCCUUGUAAGUCAGAUGUGAAAGCCCAGGGCUCAACCCUGGAAUUGCACUUGAUACUGCAUCGCUAGAGUAUAGGAGAGGGAAGUGGAAUUUCUGGUGUAGGAGUGAAAUCCGUAGAGAUCAGAAGGAACACCCGUGGCGAAGGCGACUUCCUGGACUAUUACUGACACCGAGGAGCGAAAGCGUGGGGAGCAAACAGGAUUAGAUACCCUGGUAGUCCACGCCGUAAACGAUGAACGCUAGGUGUCGGGG